rnacentral:rRNA from 1 species
GACGAACGCUGGCGGCGUGCUUAACACAUGCCAGUCGAACGGUAAAGCGCCUUCCUCUUUGUAGGGUGUGGUUGAGUGGCGAACGGGUGAGUAACACGUGAGUAACCUGCCCCCUUCUUCUCCAUAACCGCAUGAAAGUGUGGCUAAUACGGGAUAUUCUGUGUCUGUCGCAUGAUGGGUCUGGGGCAGAUAUUGUGUCGGUGGUGGAUGGGCUCGCGGCCUGUCCGCUAGUUGGUUGGGGGAGUGCUUGCCAAGGCGGGGGGGGGUAGCUGGCCGGAGAGGACGGGCGGCCGGUCUGGAUGGGAAUGAGGCACCGGCCAGACUCCGGCGGGAGGCAGCAGUGAGGAUGAUUGAACAAUGGGAGCCAGCCUGAUGCAGCGACGCCGCGUGAGGGAUGGAGGCGUGCGGGUUGUGAACCUCUUUCGCCAGUGAAGCAGGCCUGCCUCGUUUGUGGGUGGGUUGACGGUAGCUGGAUAAGAAGCGCCGGCUAACUACGUG